GAAUGCUGGCCUGUCACGCCGGAGGUCGCGGGUUCGAGUCCCGUCCGCUCCGCCA
rnacentral:tRNA from 1 species